AUACGUAGGGGGCGAGCGUUGUCCGGAAUGAUUGGGCGUAAAGGGCGCGUAGGCGGCGCGGUAAGUCUGGAGUGAAAGUCCUGCUUUCAAGGUGGGAAUUGCUUUGGAUACUGCCGCGCUUGAGUGCAGGAGAGGUUAUCGGAAUUCCCGGUGUAGCGGUGAAAUGCGUAGAGAUCGGGAGGAACACCAGUGGCGAAGGCGGGUAACUGGACUGCAACUGACGCUGAGGCGCGAAAGUGUGGGGAGCAAACAGGAUUAGAUACCCUGGUAGUCCACACUGUAAGCGAUGAAUGCUAGGUGUAAGAGGUAUCGACCCCUUUUGUGCCGGAGUCAACACAAUAAGCAUUCCGCCUGGGGAGUACGGCCGCAAGGUUGAAACUCAAAGGAAUUGACGGGG
rnacentral:rRNA from 1 species